rnacentral:rRNA from 1 species
CGUCAAGUCAUCAUGGCCCUUACGGCCAGGGCUACACACGUGCUACAAUGGCGCGUACAGAGGGCUGCAAGCUAGCGAUAGUGAGCGAAUCCCAAAAAGCGCGUCGUAGUCCGGAUCGGAGUCUGCAACUCGACUCCGUGAAGUCGGAAUCGCUAGUAAUCGCAAAUCAGAAUGUUGCGGUGAAUACGUUCCCGGGCCUUGUACACACCGCCCGUCACACCAUGGGAGUGGGUUGCACCAGAAGUAGAUAGCUUAACCUUCGGGAGGGCGUUUACCACGGUGUGAUUCAUGACUGGGGUGAAGUCGUAACA